rnacentral:ncRNA from 1 species
UUGAAUUCUCAGUAGUGAGAUCCUCGAUUACCUAGGCCAAAGAAACCCUGAUAAAUGAAUGUUGUAGCUUGGUGGACUAAGGACAGUGAAGGCGACAUGUUUCUUGGGUCAACCUUGAUCAAAUAAUGGUACAAAUCAAGGGAUUGUGAGCAGUAAAGGGGGUACAUUCCUUGGGUUGGGUUGGUCAAGAGGAAGAGAGCAAGUAUGGUGCCAACAACCACGGUAAUUCCAGCUUCAAUAGCAUAUAUUUAAGUUGUUGUAGUUAAAAAUCUCGUAGUUGGAUCUUGGGUCGUGAAGGUCGGUCCACCUACUCAAUGUGCACCUACUCUUUCGUCCCUUUUGUUGGCGGCGUGUUCCUAGGCUUAAUUGGUUGGGUCGCGGUUUCGACGUUGUUACUUUGAAAAAAUUAGAGUGCUCAAAGCAAGCUUAUGCUCUGAAUACAUUAGCAUGGAAUAACACGAAAGGAGUCUGGUCGUAUUGUGUUGGCCUUCAAGAUCGGAGUAAUGAUUAAUUAGGACUAUCGGGGGCAUUCGUAUUUCAUUGUCAGAGGUGAAAUUCUUGGAUUUAUGAAAGAUGAAACAAUGUGAAAGCAUUUGCUAAGGAUGUUUUCAUUAAUCAAGAACUAAAAUUGGGGCCUUGAAGAAGAUCAUAUAUUUCCCUAGUCUCAACCAUAAACGAUGCCAACUAGAGAUCGACAGACAUUGCUCUAAGGACUCCACCAGCACCUUUUGAGAAAUCAAAGUGUUUAGGUUCCC